UUUUUAGUAUAAGUAUGCGCAUACAAUAUUUGGGAAAUACUUAUACAAAAA
rnacentral:miRNA from 1 species